rnacentral:rRNA from 1 species
AGAGUUUGAUCCUGGCUCAGGACGAACGCUGGCGGCGCGCCUCAUACAUGCAAGUCGAGCGAGAACCGGGCUUCGGCCCGGGGAGAGCGGCGAACGGGUGCGUAUCACGUGAGCAACCUGCCUCAGAGACCGGGAUAACUCGAGGAAACUCGGGCUAAUACCGGAUGCCCUCGGUGGAUCGCAUGGUCCGGCGAGGAAAUGGAUUCCGCUCUGAGAUGGGCUCGCGGCCUAUCAGCUUGUUGGUGGGGUAACGGCCUACCAAGGCGACGACGGGUAGCUGGUCUGAGAGGACGAUCAGCCACACUGGGACUGAGACACGGCCCAGACUCCUACGGGAGGCAGCAGUAGGGAAUCUUGCGCAAUGGGCGAAAGCCUGACGCAGCGACGCCGCGUGCGGGAUGAAGGCCUUCGGGUCGUAAACCGCUUUCAGCAGGGACGAAAUA